rnacentral:lncRNA from 10 species
UCUGGAAGCGCCUCGCUUUUCCUCCCUCCGGCCUCAUCCUGGUUUUCUCCUCAUCUCCCCGUCGCAGGGUCCCGGGUCCAGGCUGGGGUUCAGUUGCCUGCUCCUCCUCUCUGUGCCCUCCCCCGCCCGAUGGCCCCACAAGUGCUGUCUUGCAGGAGAGCGCCGGGAGACCGCAGGGCGGAGGUGAAGAACGGAGUCCAGAGCCCUCCAGAGAUGGCAGCGAAUCCCGGCCCUGCCUCUUGCCAGCUGUGUGGCCUAGAGUGAGUCCGACCUCUCUGGGCCUCAGCUUCCUCCGGGAUGAAUGCAGUCACGGAACGCGCCAAUGCAGGAGGCCCCCAGGACAUCCUGAGCGCUCGGGAGACGCCAGGCGCGGCAGCGGGCACGGAUAGCGGAAAGGGGCGCGACCCCGCGGAAUCCUCCGGCAGGGCAGGGCCUUUGGGUGGCUCCGGGUGUCCAGAGGAAGGGGUGGGCUCGGGGACGCGGAGGGAAACUGGGGACGCGGAGGGAAACUGAGGUCGCGGAGGACGCGGCCGUUGGCAGCUCGCUGCGCCUGCCGGCCCCGCGUGGGCCGCCCCACUCGGGAGGACGCGGGCUCCUUUUGUCUGCAGCGUCCCCGC